ensembl:lncRNA novel transcript
GAGGUGGGAGGAUCGCUUGAACUCAGGAGUUGAAGGCUGCAGUGGGUGAGGAUCACAACACUGAAUUCCAGCUGAGGUGACAGAAUGAGACCCUGUCUCUCUAAAAAACAAGCAAGCAAACAAACCAAAAACCACAGACAAACCAGACCCCUCUUAGCAGAAUACUUCCAUGAGGUAAUAAAAGGUUUAAUUUAUUUCAGAAGUUUCUAGAUUUUAUUGUCUCUAUUUAGCCAAAGCCACAAGAAAAGUCAAAUUCAUAUCUUUAAAUGCUUUCAUUAUCAAUCAAGAAAGAAGAAAGUGAAACGAACAAACAAUUUUACUCAAGAAACUAGUGAGAAAUCAAAGAAAUGUCCAAGAAGUAGGAGACAAGAAUUAAUCAAAACAGAUUAACAGUGGAAUAAAUAAAUGAAUCCAA